CGACUCGUUCUCUUCUCCAUUUCCAAAGACAAGGACUUAGCGUGCCAAGGUUUUAGCUCCCCCAGCCGCCAUGGCCAUCCACGUCCCUUCUCGUCUUCACCCACCUGCCUUCCUCCUCUAGCUCCCAUCGUCCACCCCAAAUGGCGGCCUCUACCUCCUCCCCAUUCCUCGCGUCCCCCCGCUUCUCCUGCCAGAUCGCCGGCAACCCCACCCCGGCGCCCAGGUACGCCCCAGCCGUCAGAAUCCUUUCUUGGAAGCGCUUUGCGGCUUCCAGCUGCGAGGUCUCCCUCGUCCUGGCGCGGCUCCCACGACCGCCGCCACGCCGUCGGAACGCGCUGCGCGAGAAGACCUCGCCCCUGCCGCCGCUAGUUGUACGGCACCAGGUGCGUCCUCCGUACGAUGUGUUCCCCGAGCUAGGGUCUUUGGAUAGCCAAGAACCAACAUCUGGUUCUUUGGGUGCUGAGCCAUCGUCGGAUCUUGACGAGAAAUUGGAAAUUUCUGGUGGUCUGGAUGCUUUUCGAAGUGGGAAUUUUGCCUCGAAGUCUGAAUUGGACAAUGAGAAGGAUGUGAUUGGAGUUGCAGAGGAAAUCACUUUCUGCGGGACUGGGGCUGGUCCUGUGUUCAGUGUUUAUGAAGACCCAGAAGGGAAUGUGAUGCACGUUGAGGUAGAUGAAGAUGAAAUCAUUAACAAGAGUGAGGCUGCAGAUGGAGAGCGGAGUUGCUAUUCGGAUGCUACGAUGUCUUGUGCUAGAGUGAUGGGCAAGGAGCUCAAAAGCGGCCGGCAUAUGGCUCCAAAGAACAGCUCAUUGUUUCAGUUUGUUGCCACUGAGAGGAUGGAAUCGCCAGCUGUGAAUGGUGAGGUUUCAGUUGCACAGAGAAUGGCGACUCCUUUGGGGGGCUUCGCAUGGAGCGGUUUUGCAGCAUUAUGCAGUGUCUGCCUUGUAUUUGCUGCAUCCAAGUUGGUCUGGAGGAACAGUAAGUCCAAAUUUCCGAGGAGGUUGUUUUAUAUGCAUAGGCAUGGGAUGAAAAGGGAUGGAUUAGAUAAGGCACACGGAUAUCCAGGUGCUUUAUUAAGAAGGCCGCAUCUAGACAGGAAAGAACUGAUGAAUAACAUCAAAAGAGCCAAGGAAUCAAGGGAAUGGUUCGUCCUAAGCAAUGCAUUUAGUUGCAAAACUGUUGCUAAUGGUGAUGCAAAUAUUACAGAAAUCAGAAGAACGGUUACAGAGGUUCACACACCAGUAGAAGGAAGCCUUGAACAAGGUAGUACUGAAGAAAAGAAAGAUAUUGUUUUUUCACACCCAAUAGUUGCAAUUGACAAAGAAGUUUCUGCAAGUUAUGGUGGCCAAUCUGAUCCUGAUGAAGUAUCAGGCAGUAGCAACUUAACUGGUAUCAGUUUGUCGAAUGAUAGGAUCGAGGAAAGUGUGGCUGCAACAUUACCUCAGAGAAGCAGAGAAGAUAUGAAAAAUGGAGAACCAGUUAUGAACACUAGUGAAAAAAAUCAGGAUAAUAUUGGAGAAAUAGAACUGCCUGAGCCCACUUAUAACAAGAAGAUGACUGGUGCAAGUGAUAGAACUUCUAUGAUAUACGCAUCAGAAAAAGAAGCACAAACUGGUUCUGCAAAGGAUCAUGAUCUGGGCCCUAACAGUAUUACCACCACAUCAUCUGAAUUUGAAAGCAAAGAACAAUUUGCAGAGAUAUGCACAGAGAAUCUGGAUUGCAUUCAAGGAACAAAACCAUCUCUGCCGUUCAUUAGUGACAAACAUAUGACUUGUGCAAAGGAUAAUGCUCACCAGUUUAGUACCAAUGUAGUUUCAGAAAGAGCUGAUGGUUUGUCAUCUGAUUGUUUCAACAUGUCACCAUCUGAGUUGAGAAACAACAAAACACCCCUGGACAUUAGUGUGAGUGAUCUCAAUGGCAUUAAAGAAACUGAAGCGCCCAGGACUUCUGCAAACGUUGCUCACACGGCUCACUGCGAAGAGUUUACUCAUAAUAUAAGCAUAAUAGGUAAACAAGGAUGUAAAGCUCCAGUAAUGGCUGAUACCGUGACUGCAACAUCACCUCAGAGAAGCAGAGAAGAGCCUGUGGAUCUCAGGAGAGAUAGCAUGCAAUCAAUGAAAGAACCAGAACCAUGUAUUUCUACUGGGAAUGACAAACAGCUAAGUCAUGCGAGUGGGAAUGAGCAUAAAGAUAGAACAGUACACAACAAGACCCAGAUUAGGUUGGAAGCAGACACCACUAGGAUACUUGAUAAUGCUAGCACACCGUCACUAUAUGCCCUGCAAGAAGAAACCAUUCAACACAGACCUGCAAAAGUUUCAAGAUCAGAGAAGAGGCAAGAGAAAAGAACUUCAUCUAGCAAAAAGCAUAGAGCACAUCUCUCUGAAAACAAAGGCAAAAUGAAGAAACAAGUGUGCAGUGAUAAGGAAGCAGAGACAAAGCAGUCAGAACAAGGUGUACCUGGAACGGAAAUUGUGAUUGAUCCAUCAAAUUGUGUACCGAAAACAAAAAGAGUGCCAAAGAAACGGAUAAAGAAAGUACAAAAUGAUAUGGAAAGAGUAGCUGCACAAGAUGAUGUUCAAAGUUGCAGCAUAAUUGAUCAGAAUAACAAUAGCCAGCGUGUUAAAAAGACUAGAAGAAAAAAUCUGAGAAAUGCAUCUUGCAAUCAAGGAGCUCAAACAAGAGAGGAAAAUCCAGAAACAACUUAUAUAGUCAAUUAUCCGGAUAAUGCACCGACAAUAUGAAACCUCUUGGUGUGGCAGCUUCUUCUUUGGAGACACAAUUUUCAAAGGGGUCUUUUAGGAAAUAGUAGCUAAAUGGGUCCAGUGGUAUUAUUCUGAGAAAGGAAGAGUUCUGCUCACCUCUGGAACCCUGGAAACGGUGGAGACAGCUGUGAUAGAAACUUUCAAUAUGACUGUUAAGUUAAACAAAUCAAAUGUUGGUGUAACUGCUCCCAAGAAGGCGCAAAGAGAAAAUCAUUGUCAAAGUGUAGCAAGUCAACUAUUCCUUCAGAUUAUCAAAUAAAGGCUAAGAUACUACUGACAAGCUACAGCAUGUAUGAAGUGUUUCAAGUAUUGCUCUCCAUGCAUAAGUUGUUUCUGCAGAGUUGCCCUCAAUUAAUAUGCAGCACAGUUUUUUAUGAACAAUAGUGGCAAACUGGAAAUAUUGCAACAAGCAAGCAUCAGCUUAAAGAGGAUAUCUUCUCUCAUCAAUCUGAGCAACCAGUUUCAUCGUUCUUGUUUCUGAAAGGAAAUUGUAGUAACAGGUUGUAGGGCAAAAAAUAUGGUAAUGUAUUGUCCGACUGUUUACAAGUACUUGUUUGAUAUUUGAUAGUUUUUUUUCCGUUUGAGCUUGAGCACCCUUAUGAAACUUUACUUACCGUCAUAGAGUGCCUAAUAGAAUGCAUGAUAUUAAAGUUUUGAAACUUUGACCAAUGAUAUCUGUUGAAGCAUUAUGAUUCGUCAUAUUCAAAUAAUAUUGGUAGAAUUGUCAUCAAAGUACUUCCAAAACAUUCCUUGUUGUACCUUGCAUAAAAGUUAAUGGUCAAAGGUGUAUGUUAUAGAGCAUGUGAAUGUCUAAAAAUGAUAUCUUAGAAACGGAACUAGUAGCAAAGUGAACUAUAAAUCCUGUUCUCUGCAAUAUCAAAAAUUGCUGAAGAACUUAUUUUCAGCAAAGCAUAAUCACCAACAACUCAUGUAUUACUUCAGCAUCACAGUUCACAACCACCCUCAUUUAUUCAAAUGAGAGAAAAAAUGUUUGACACAACCAAUGCAAAAAGACAAGUGUCAGUAAACAUUCUAUAUUACCCUUUUGUUGUUGCAUAUACUGUUAACCUAUCAGCUUCCUCAAAUAGGCUAUAUUUAGUUUCCAAAGGGCAGAUGAGAUCUAACAAAAUAGUCUUGUUAGAAAACCAAAAAGCCACAUGCUUGACAUCAAUAUAUUACAAUGGACAGCUCGACAUAAUUUUUUUCUGGUGUGAAGAAUAAAAUCUAAGAAACAUACAAUAGCACAGAGUUAGCCAUGUAGACAAAACCAUCUUAGGUAGCUGUUGUCGAUUGAUCUUUUGUACAUUAUGCAGUGAGAAGUUAAACUUGGAUGAACCAUCAAGUGCAAUGGACAUUAUGCAUAUGCUUAGCACAUCAAUAUAAACACCAGAAGAUAUAGGAGUGAAUUACGCCAGAAUUCUUAUUCUCAAACUUGUCCGAUUGUGCCUCAGGUUAACUAAACCUGUAAAUUUGUUUGACAAGCACUUGAACUUGCUUAAUUAUGUCAACUAUAUCCAUUAGUCACAGAAAACAUGUAGUAAUGACUCCUGCUGAGAAAUGUAUAAGCUGAUGUAGUUAUUGAAAGAGUCAAAUUAGUUUAGGUAAGUUAUCUAGUUGUUAUGGGCAGAAGAUAAGUUGGAUUUGAUUAGGAGAUAGAAUUUGAUUAGUUUUUAAUUCAGCUAAAGAUAAAUUAGGUAAGUUAAGAUUUGAAGUUAGAUUUGGAUUAUAAUUUCCCCUCUCUAUAUAAAGGGGCAGCGACGCAUCAUUGCAAGCAAGCAAGAAAAAUUCAACAAAGGGCUUUUGUCUUGAUGGUUAAAUCAAAACCUCUUCUUGACGGGAGAAGUCCGGUAAUUAGAGGGCGAUUAGCCUCGAGUAUGGGAGAAAACUGGGAUUAGUGGACGAUCAUUAUGAUUCGAAUUCAUUACACAUGAAAUACGAACCCACGCAUCGUCAUCUUAUUAGCUAGGACCACUAUACUUCUAACAGUUCUGACAACAGCUACACAAGAUCUUCAGGGGUGUACUUCAUAAGUUUGGGAGGCGUGUUUUGGUGAUUAUCCAAGUAUGAACCGGAAGUCUUUUUAACUAUUCUACUGUAAUCCCUCCCCUGCUACUGACUAGUUCCCAGAUUUUCGAAUUAAGCAACCGUUUAACCAAGUUGCAAUGUUUACCUAUUCCAUGUGAAACGAUGGCUACUGAGCAGCAGAUUAGAUGUGUGUUGGCUUUAUGGUGUUGACCUACAAAUACUGGUUAAGAGAUGUAUUCUUGUGACUGCUGUGAUCUAGCAGAAAGCAGUGCAUAUAUAUGUAAAUGUAUAGCGGUUUUAUGGUAAGGUGAUGACCAGAUUAUAUUGUGUUCUCUGAUAAUUUUAUGAUGAUUCGCGUUUAGUGAGACGUGUGUGCAUCCAAGGUUGAUAUUAUUUAGCUUUGGUGGUCACUUUCUUAGUAAAUAAUCAUGUGAAUGCCCAAGUUGUU